GCAGUCGAGCGAAGACUUCGGUCUUAGCGGCGGACGGGUGAGUAACGCGUGGGAACGUGCCCUUCACUACGGAAUAGUCCCGGGAAACUGGGUUUAAUACCGUAUACGCCCUUCGGGGGAAAGAAUUUCGGUGAAGGAUCGGCCCGCGUUGGAUUAGGUAGUUGGUGGGGUAAUGGCCUACCAAGCCGACGAUCCAUAGCUGGUUUGAGAGGAUGAUCAGCCACACUGGGACUGAGACACGGCCCAGACUCCUACGGGAGGCAGCAGUGGGGAAUCUUAGACAAUGGGGGAAACCCUGAUCUAGCCAUGCCGCGUGAGUGAUGAAGGCCUUAGGGUCGUAAAGCUCUUUCGCCAGGGAAGAUAAUGACGGUACCUGGUAAAGAAACCCCGGCUAACUCCGUGCCAGCAGCCGCGGUAAUACGGAGGGGGUUAGCGUUGUUCGGAAUUACUGGGCGUAAAGCGCGCGUAGGCGGAUUAGUAAGUCAGGGGUGAAAUCCCGGGGCUCAACCCCGGAACUGCCCUUGAUACUGCUAGUCUUGAGUUCGAGAGAGGUGAGUGGAAUUCCGAGUGUAGAGGUGAAAUUCGUAGAUAUUCGGAGGAACACCAGUGGCGAAGGCGGCUCACUGGCUCGAUACUGACGCUGAGGUGCGAAAGCGUGGGGAGCAAACAGG
rnacentral:rRNA from 1 species